rnacentral:rRNA from 1 species
UACGGAGGGUGCAAGCGUUAUCCGGAUUCACUGGGGUUAAAGGGUGCGUAGGCGGGUUGGGAAGUCCGUGGUGAAAUCUCCGAGCUUAACUCGGAAACUGCCGUGGAUACUAUCAAUCUUGAAUAUCGUGGAGGUAAGCGGAAUAUGUCAUGUGGCGGUGAAAUGCUUAGAUAUGACAGAGAACACCAAUUGCGUAGGCAGCUUACUACACGAUCAUUGACGCUGAGGCACGAAAGCGUGGGGAGCAAACAGG